GGAAACGGUGGCUAAUACUGGAUAUCUAACGCGAUCGCAUGGUCUGUGUUUGGAAAGAUUUUUUGGUUAUGGAUCGGCUCACGGCCUAUCAGCUUGUUGGUGAGGUAAUGGCUCACCAAGGCGACGACGGGUAGCCGGCCUGAGAGGGUGACCGGCCACACUGGGACUGAGACACGGCCCAGACUCCUACGGGAGGCAGCAGUGGGGAAUAUUGCACAAUGGGCGAAAGCCUGAUGCAGCAACGCCGCGUGAGGGAUGACGGCCUUCGGGUUGUAAACCUCUUUUAGUAGGGAAGAAGCGAAAGUGACGGUACCUGCAGAAAAAGCACCGGCUAACUACGUGCC
rnacentral:rRNA from 1 species